rnacentral:rRNA from 1 species
UUGGGCGUAAAGCGAGCGCAGGCGGUUCCUUAAGUCUGAUGUGAAAGCCCCCGGCUCAACCGGGGAGGGUCAUUGGAAACUGGGGAACUUGAGUGCAGAAGAGGAGAGUGGAAUUCCAUGUGUAGCGGUGAAAUGCGUAGAUAUAUGGAGGAACACCAGUGGCGAAGGCGACUCUCUGGUCUGUAACUGACGCUGAGGCUCGAAAGCGUGGGUAGCAAACAGGAUUAGAUACCCUGGUAGUCCACGCCGUAAACGAUGAGUGCUAAGUGUUGGAGGGUUUCCGCCCUUCAGUGCUGCAGUUAACGCAUUAAGCACUCCGCCUGGGGAGUACGACCGCAAGGUUGAAACUCAAAGGAAUUGACGGGGGCCCGCACAAGCGGUGGAGUAUGUGGUUUAAUUCGACGCAACGCGAAGAACCUUACCAGGUCUUGACAUUGAUGGACAGAACUAGAGAUAGUUCCUCUUCUUCGGAAGCCAGAAAACAGGUGGUGCACGGUUGUCGUCAGCUCGUGUCGUGAG